GGGCGGAUAGCUCAGCUGGUUAGAGCACCUCGCUUACACCGAGGGUGUCGGGGGUUCGAAUCCCUCUCUGCCCA
rnacentral:tRNA from 1 species